rnacentral:rRNA from 1 species
GAUGAACGCUGGCGGCGUGCCUAAUACAUGCAAGUCGAGCGAACGGACGAGAAGCUUGCUUCUCUGAUGUUAGCGGCGGACGGGUGAGUAACACGUGGAUAACCUACCUAUAAGACUGGGAUAACUUCGGGAAACCGGAGCUAAUACCGGAUAAUAUUUUGAACCGCAUGGUUCAAAAGUGAAAGACGGUCUUGCUGUCACUUAUAGAUGGAUCCGCGCUGCAUUAGCUAGUUGGUAAGGUAACGGCUUACCAAGGCAACGAUGCGUAGCCGACCUGAGAGGGUGAUCGGCCACACUGGAACUGAGACACGGUCCAGACUCCUACGGGAGGCAGCAGUAGGGAAUCUUCCGCAAUGGGCGAAAGCCUGACGGAGCAACGCCGCGUGAGUGAUGAAGGUCUUCGGAUCGUAAAACUCUGUUAUUAGGGAAGAACAGAUGUGUAAGUAACUGUGCACAUCUUGACGGUACCUAAUCAGAAAGCCACGGCUAACUACGUG